GACGAACGCUGGCGGCGUGCUUAACACAUGCAAGUCGAACGGAAAGGCCCUGCUUUUGUGGGGUGCUCGAGUGGCGAACGGGUGAGUAACACGUGAGUAACCUGCCCUUGACUUUGGGAUAACUUCAGGAAACUGGGGCUAAUACCGGAUAGGAGCUCCUGCUGCAUGGUGGGGGUUGGAAAGUUUCGGCGGUUGGGGAUGGACUCGCGGCUUAUCAGCUUGUUGGUGGGGUAGUGGCUUACCAAGGCUUUGACGGGUAGCCGGCCUGAGAGGGUGACCGGCCACAUUGGGACUGAGAUAGGGCCCAGACUCGUACGGGAGGCAGCAGUGGGGAAUAUUGCACAAUGGGCGGAAGCCUGAUGCAGCGACGCCGCGUGCGGGAUGACGGCCUUCGGGUUGUAAACCGCUUUCGCCUGUGACGAAGCGUGAGUGACGGUAAUGGGUAAAGAAGCACCGGCUAACUACGUG
rnacentral:rRNA from 1 species